GGUCUGAGAAUAAGAAAUUGAUGAGAAUUACCCAGAGUGAUGAGGCUGUUUAUAAUACACCUAUGAGCACCCGGCUGAUGGAGUGGCAACCCUUUCAACUGCUCAGACAGAACUGCUUGGCCAAGGAGAAGAGUGCUGGCUCUCUCACUAAGGUGAAGUUCCAGUACAAGAAGAAAGAAUCAAGCACCCCUGUGCCUUGAUUCACGAAGAUCUGACCACUAUCUUUUGUCAGGCUGUGGCAGCAUGAAGGUUGGGAUCUUUCUCACGCACUGCACUGCUUAGAGCACAAAGCCACCACCAGAGAGAGCUAUUCCAGAUCUUUUGGUCAGAGAACACAAAGCUUGGAUUCAAGUACUGAAACAAACCUGUGGCUGUGUACUCAGUUACUCUCAGUGGUUCAACACUACAUACAUCUGAUAACGUUGCAAGUCAAGGCAAAAGUCCUGCUGAAGUGAUGCAGGGAAGUUUUCUAAAG